AAGUGUCACAGCUCUUUUGGAAUUUGUCCAGCAGGUUUUCUGGCUUAUGCUGGAACACCUCC
ensembl:snRNA U7 U7 small nuclear RNA